UAUAUAUAUGUUAUUUACCGGCUGCGAGGUCCGGAUGAGAAAAACUGUGCCCGAGGUCUAGGGCGAGGGACGUUUUCAAGACCGAGGGCACAGUUUUUCUCAUCCGGACCGACGCUGCCGGCAAAGAACGUGUUUAUU